CCAGACUCCUACGGGAGGCAGCAGUGGGGAAUAUUGGACAAUGGACCAAGAGUCUGAUCCAGCAAUUCUGUGUGCACGAUGAAGUUUUUUGGAAUGUAAAGUGCUUUCAGUUGGGAAGAAAGAAAUGACGGUACCAACAGAAGAAGUGACGGCUAAAUACGUGCCAGCAGCCGCGGUAAUACGUAUGUCACGAGCGUUAUCCGGAUUUAUUGGGCGUAAAGCGCGUCUAGGUGGUUAUGUAAGUCUGAUGUGAAAAUGCAGGGCUCAACUCUGUAUUGCGUUGGAAACUGUAUAACUAGAGUACUGGAGAGGUAAGCGGAACUACAAGUGUAGAGGUGAAAUUCGUAGAUAUUUGUAGGAAUGCCGAUGGGGAAGCCAGCUUACUGGACAGAUACUGACGCUAAAGCGCGAAAGCGUGGGUAGCAAACAGGAUUAGAUACCCUGGUAGUCCACGCUGUAAACGAUGAUUACUAGGUGUUGGGGGUCGAACCUCAGCGCCCAAGCAAACGCGAUAAGUAAUCCGCCUGGGGAGUACGUACGCAAGUAUGAAACUCAAAGGAAUUGACGGGGGCCCGCACAAG
rnacentral:rRNA from 1 species